UAGAGUUUGAUCCCUGGCUCAGGACGAACGCUGGCGGCGUGCCUAACACAUGCAAGUCAAGGAGAAAAGGAAUCUUCGGAAUCCUUAGUAAACUGGCGAACGGGUGAGUAACACGUAGGCAACCUACCCAUAGGACUGGGAUAACCUUGCUAACGCGGGGCUAAUACCGGAUAACAUUUUUCUGUCGCAUGAUAGAAAAAUCAAAGUUGCUUUCGAGUAGUACCUAUGGAUGGACCUGCGUCCCAUUAGCUAGUUGGUAGGGUAAAAGCCUACCAAGGCGACGAUGGGUAGCCGGCCUGAGAGGGUGAACGGCCACACUGGGACUGAGAUACGGCCCAGACUCCUACGGGAGGCAGCAGUGAGGAAUAUUGCGCAAUGGGCGGAAGCCUGACGCAGCAACGCCGCGUGGAUGAUGAAGCUUCUAAGGAGCGUAAAGUCCUGUUAGAAGGGAAGAACAGUGUUUAUUCGAUGAGGAAAAUAUUGCGGACCUCA
rnacentral:rRNA from 1 species